rnacentral:lncRNA from 1 species
AUAUAUUUAGACCAAAAAAUUGAUACUAUAUGUAUACAUAUAAUGAAUAACAACAACAAAUAGAACAUGGACCGUAAAAGAAAUGAGAAGAAAACUAUAGGAAAACACAGUAAUAGAUGACAUAGUUCUCGAGAGAUGUUGCAUUGAAUUCCCACGUUAAGCAGAUUUCUUCCAAAAAAACAUAUUAGAGCAUAUGAUUUGUGGCCUAGAUUUGUAUGUUACUGAUUUUUUUUUUGUCAACGAGUUACUGAUAUAUAUAGUGGCCUAAAGCAUAUGCUUUACAUGUUUUGUGACAGGACCGGGGGCC